rnacentral:rRNA from 1 species
GAUGAACGCUGGCGGCGUGCCUAAUACAUGCAAGUCGAGCGAACAGAUGAGGAGCUUGCUCCUCUGACGUUAGCGGCGGACGGGUGAGUAACACGUGGAUAACCUACCUAUAAGGCUGGGAUAACUUCGGGAAACCGGAGCUAAUACCGGAUAAUAUAUUGAACCGCAUGGUUCAAUAGUGAAAGACGGUUUUGCUGUCACUUAUAGAUGGAUCCGCGCCGCAUUAGCUAGUUGGUAAGGUAACGGCUUACCAAGGCAACGAUGCGUAGCCGACCUGAGAGGGUGAUCGCCCACACGGGAACUGAGACACGGUCAAGACUCCUACGGGAGGCAGCAGUAGGGAAUCUUCCGCUAUGGGCGAAAGCCUGACGGAGCAACGCCGCGUGAGUGAUGAAGGUCUUCGGAGCGUAAAACUCUGUUAUUAGGGAAGAACAAAUGUGUAAGUAACUAUGCACGUCUUGACGGUACCUAAUCAGAAAGCCACGGCUAACUACGUG